ACUUUCCAAAGAAUUCUCCUUUUGGGCUUUCUAGUUUUAUGUUAAGCCCAAAGGUGAAUUUUUUGGGAAGU
rnacentral:pre_miRNA from 1 species